CAAACCUGCCAGGGCUCACUCCCUCUGUGCAUGGACUAUGGCCCUCUGGCUGCAGGGAGCCUGUUCCACGUGACAGGAGGCUUGGACAGCAGCGGCAGCUCAGCCUAGGCAGCAGGCGGCCGAAGGAUUUCUUUCUGUGUGUCCCUGUAUCAACUCCAGGGAAGACGUGGGACUGAUCAGCCCAGAGAGCAAUGAAAACUCACAUCUAGACAGACAACACAAACACUCAUGACCACUUCAUUCAUCGUGGGGGCAAGUUGGUACCUGCGCAAGAACCACUGGCAGGUGAGCUGAUCAGCUAAGUGCGGUGCUUCCAUACAGUGGAAUAUCCCUCAGAAAGAAGCAGGAUGUGCCGCUGAUAUGCUGGGUGAACCCCAAAACAUUACUGAAGAGAAGAAGCCAGACAGAGAAGGUCGAAUAGCAUUCAAUUCCAAAUACAUAAAAAUUCUAGAAAAGUCCUACCGCCACUGGCUUUUGCCUGGUCUCUAGAACCACCUGAAUGCUGUCACUUCCACCAGAUGACCUCAGCAGCAGGGGCUCCAGAGGAAGGCCCUGAGACCCUUGCUCUCCCAUCCGCCCCUAGCCUGGAGCCAGCUCUGCAUCUGUAACAGACAUUCAUGAAGGUUUUUGUCAUAAGGCACACGAGACAGAAGGAAAGUGAGAAAUCAUCUCCCCUCCCUCGAGCGGAUGGCCAUCCUACAAUCUUUUUCCCUCCAUGCUCUUCCUGAGAUUUUGGGCGUGUACUUGCAGGGCAUGAUUUUUAAACCGCUGGGUCUGGGACUGGAACCAGCAGUCAGCCAUGUGGGAUUCAGCUGCCUUAACCUCCCACCUUCCGCUGGCCCUAUUUCUGCCCUUUAAAGCCACUUGGAAAUGAUCUUUGUGAUUAUGCAAUCAAUUAUACAUGUAGAUUUACUCAUUCCAUUUAUCUUCACUUUUUAGCAAUUGCUUUUAAAUUUUUAGUUGUGUUUUAUAAUUCGCUAAAACAUUUACAUGUGACAGUGCUGAAAUUUAUCUGGGCCCUGUAUUCCUGGAAAACUGUGACAUUAAAGAAUUCUACUCA